GGCAGUCUUAUUGUGCUAGGCAUUAAGUUCUUACGUAUAUCAGAGGAGCAAAGAGUCAAGUCAAAGAAAACAAAACUCAAUUAAACCGGUUGAUAAUUUCAUCAAGCAAUGUUUAUUACUAUUUUGCUAUUUUUCAUCCUUAUUACAUUGAUGUGGAAUUAUUAUGGACAUUAUGGGAGAAACAGACGUCUUAUAAACCUCAUACCAGGACCACCAGGUUAUCCGAUUGCUGGAAAUGUAUUGGAGCUUCUUGAUUCACGAG